CCUUGGGGGACGGGUGUCACGGCUGCUCAGCAAAACGCCUUGGGGCGAGCGGGACAGCCGCCCCCGCCCCUGAGGGCAUUGCCCCCUUCGCCUUUCUUCUCCUCCUCUGCCUCUGCAGCCCUUCCAGAACGGAAACUGAGGGGGCUUCAAAGUGUAAGCAGAGCGCAGGUACUUGUGUGGCCUCUGUAAGGGAAGGCAGGAGCCUGCAAGCACAGAAGGUAACACCUAGGAGCCAGUCUUGCACUACAGAAAAGCUGUUCUCUAUUCCUGUAGCCAUCCCACUGGGUCAUCAUCCUCAAUGAGCGAAGGUAAAGUGUCUACAGGUGGGUGUAACACUAGUGAUGUGUAUAAGGAUUGAUGACUAAACUAGGAGGAUGCAGUAAUCCCUAAUUUUCAUCAAGUAGCCUGAAGUGAAGAAGAGCUAACCAGAUUAUAAAAUCUUGAUCCUUUUAAGAAUUCAAAUUGUUAAUGAUUCCCUGUUGACAGAGCUGAAAGGCGAGUGCUUCUUGAGUCUCCAGAAGUGAUUAUUGAAGAGAAAUGACUGUCAGUCUUCUAAUUUGGGUGAAUGCCAAGUAGACCAAAGACCAAGUUCUGCUGGCUCAUCACGAUUGUUAUCUCUACUGGAAAGCAAGCAAACCUCUCAUCUGUGUGAGAUCUGAUGUGACAUUCUGCAUUUUAGUCAAUUCCAGCUGGCUGCUCCAAAAAAGCAAGCAAUGUUUCAUAGGUACCACAGCUAUUUCUUUCUUCAAUCCCCUGAAGCAGUAGCUGUGGGGCUGUACUUACUGUGAGGCAGUGCUGCAGGUGAAGAAAGGCAAUAGAACUUCUGAUGCAAAGGAGAAUGGGAAUGUCACAGGCCUGUUUAAAAAUAACUGAGGAAAAAAGGGGCUGUGAUCUGCAUCAGAGAAGUGCUAAGGGCACAUCUGCCAUCAACUCCCUGUGACUGUUGUGCUCAGCAGGCAUGUACAGCUGCUGAUCCUCAACCAGCUCAGAGUUCUUCUAGCAUAUUUUUAGAUGAGCAGGAUGCAUAACUUUAAAAAUAAAACACUUGCCAGACCACACAUAA